UGUCUCUCUCUGCUUCUUCAUAAUUUCAGUCCAUUUUUUCAUGCCACGGGACCACCUCAGCCCUCAAUCCUCCUGGCCUUUCAAUUGAAGGGUCCAGCAUCCUCUGACUAAUUCGCUGUUUCUCUCCAGUUCCAGAAAGAGAGAACCUUGUUGACUCGGCCCACCCUAGGGGUUGGUUCCGUCUUCGGUCUGCUGUGGUCCAGUCAGUUGUGGGUAGGAUGCAGGGCGGGGCAUGCACACACAUGUGCCUGCUGAAGCCCACAUCUAGAAUGACCACCUCAUCCUGGUUUGCCUGAAACUUUUCUGGUUUUAGCACUGUAGGUCUCACAGACCCCAAACCCUCACAGUCCCGGGCAAACCCAAAUGGCUGCUGACCGAAUGCCUCCUCCUCAGCGACACCUGUGUGUUUGUAGAGCUGAGUGGGUCAUUUGUAAGAGGGGCAUUGGGGCACAUCCAGCACAACGCUUUGACUCUCAGAGUAAAUCAGAUUGGUAAUUGCAUUCAAGACUGCAGUUCCAAAAGCAUGAUCCAUGCUUGCUGGGCACUGUGUGCCCAGCGCCAUGAUGUAAGACAGCUGUUAGGCAUGGACCUUGGGAAUACACAACAGUGAACACCAAAAGAAAGGCUGUGUACAAAAGAUCUAAACCCAGUGGCUGGAAUCUGGUGGCCCACAGGACAAGCUCAGUUGUCAGCAAGGUGGGGUCAUAGGAUUUGUGUUUGAAUGCUUCUCAGGGUGUCCCGGCUCCACCUCUUUAUCUUCCACGUGCGCUCUCCACACAAGAUCCGGGAAGGUACCUCGAGUUUGUAAUCCCUGACCUAGAGAGUAUUGUGAGUACCACUGCUUCUUCUGGUGGUGAGAGAAAGAAAGGUUAAGUUCAGGAGUUGAGAAAUAUUGCCAGCUGCAAAAUGAUCACUGGUGCAUUGGAAAAAUUGGGUAUAACUGAAGUGCGUAACAUGAGUGAUUAGUUAAUAACACUUAUUGAACAUCACUGGUACUUAAAACAAGGGGGAAUUCCUAGGAAAGGUUAGAACUGGCAUGGAGGAAACCAUUAGAAAAUUUACAAAUCUGUGAAGAUUUGUGUGUCCCCAGAAGCAAACCCCAGGAUAGGAUGUGAGUGGAACCGUUCAACGGGAGGUGAUCCCAGGCCCCCUGUAGGGAGUCGGAACCUGACCAGGGAAGAAAGCCAGUAACAGGUACGCCAGCCUGCUGCCCCUGGGAAGUCUGGGAGAGAGUAGACGGAGGCUUGGAGCUCUCCUUCGGAGGAGGGAGUGCAGGGUGGGUAUUUCUUCACCAACCCCUGUCAGCCAUGGGGUGAGAGCUGCUCCCUGGGGACAUAAAAUCCCUGACACCUCCAGCCUACCCCAAAGGAAGCCCUGAAGUAAAUAACGCAGCUGCUGGCAGUUGACAUUCAGGCUGAGUUCUCUGGCCUGGUGCCUGCUGAGGGUGUGGGUCCAGCAUGUUCUCGCACACACACAUGCUCUGUGUCACUGCACUACUCAGAUCUUACAGAGACAUCAAAUGUCUGUCCCAAAAGGCAGGCAGUUUGGGAUAUUAGACUUUGUCAGUCAGAGUUCCUGGUUGUGGAGCAUCAGAGUUGCCUCCAGCUGAGGGAAGCAGAAAAGGAAUUUAUUACUGAGUAUUAGGUGGCUCACAGACUGGGAGAGUUAGGGGUCGGCCCCACCACAGGAUGCUCCAAUGAAGAUGCCACUGUCCCUCUGCCGGGCCAGACUCCGCAUCUCACAGAGCCAUCACUGGGCACUAUCCCAGCAGUCUCCCGGGUGGAAAUGUAUGAAGACCACGCAAAGGAGAACAAGCAGGGGCUAUCUAUUCAAAGCGCUGCAGCAAGGGCGUCAGCCACCAUCACUCGCAUUUGGCAGUCAGGGGAAUGGGGAGGCUGUAAGGUGAUGAACAGGGAAGCUGCAGGUGUUCCCGCUGGAGCUGCGGGGCAUCCCAUGUGACUGGUUAGAGGAGCAUGUGUGGCUUUCUCAGGUUGGUCCUGAGUUGGAAGCAGAGGCAGAAAUUGGGGAAGCUGGUACUUAUUGACCAAGUCCUGACCAUUUGGGGCCGAGUUGCUGCAGUUUGUGGUUUGGCUUCCUGGGGGCUGGUGGUGCAGAGGUUGUGGGUCAGAGUUCUAUGUCCAUUUGUAUCUUGAGUCUCGCACGCCGAAAGCUAACGCCUCUGCUGUCGCCCCCUCCAGUCGGAGUCCAGCGGCGCCUGCUUCCUGGCAUUGCUGUCUUCUGAAGGGACUCCUGCUCCUGCUGGAGAGACCAGAUCAAAGGCCUGGCCUCAGCGGGGUGCUUGGCUCUUCCCUGGGGUGGGUCCUCCAAGAGAAUGAGGGGUUGAGAGAUGCUGGGCAGCCACACAACAUGACCAGCGUUCACCGCGUAAGCACAGCCAGUGAGCAGAGAGGCUCACGACAUCGGAGAGUAGACCAGGAGGGUUUCCUGAAUCAAUGGAUAAAAAGAGAAAUGAUUCCAGGGUACAUUUUCCUGCAGGGGGUGGAACUUACGCCUAUUCUUGCAGAGAAAGUACAGAAAGUUUAAAGAAGAGCUGGAAAACCCUCUUCAUCUCUCCACCAAACACAGCCCUUGUUACCAUUUCAACACAGUGGGCUUCUUUGGUCUUUUUCACGUUGUUGAAAUAACGCCGUACACACAACUUCAUAUUCUGCUUUGUGGUUUAACUCUGCGUCAUAAGCAUUUCACCACUUUUCUAAAACUCUUUGUAAACAGCAUUUUAUGACGUCAUGCUACUCCAUUGUGUGGCUGUGUAGACGUAAUUUAGGCAGCUGUUCCCAGAAUGUCAGCUAUUCAGAUUGUCUCUCAUUUUGUUGCUAUUAUGAGUAUAAAUCCCAUCUUCAUUUCUAAGUGGGAGAGAGAUUCAGGAGGGAAUUACUAAGCAGUGGGCAUGAAUGUUUUGCUUUUCUUGACCCGUGGUGCACAGGACUAUGUGAACAGACAGGGGGUGAAGCCCCUGUGGUCGUCUUUCCCCCACCCGUCUCUCUUUCUGUAGGCACGGCUUUCACCAGGAGAGCGGGACAGGGGCACAGAGGACAAGCUGAAGAAAUACACACUCAGGACGGAGAGGCUUUCUGAAGAGCUGUCCUAGAUGCCUCCUGGCUUGGAUUAUACUAUGAAACGGUUUAUUGUCUGCUGAGGCGCCCUGCAAGUGUACAGGAGAGACUUUUUGCUAGCUGUGGUUUGGAAAGAGAGCAGAGCAACUCAUCCUGAUUCUGAAUAAAGGAUGGUAACAUUUUAUGGUAAAUAUAAUGGCAGGCAACCAUGAUGCUCUGUUUUUUAAUUGCAGUGAAAAAUCGAUGGGCUAGUCUCUUUUACAAAUGCAUAUCCCAGUAUCGACAUGGAGGCGGGGCUUCAGAAACGUCAGUGGCCCAUCAGAGUCACCCAAAGGGCUCGUGAAAACAGAUUCCUGGGCCCCACCCCAAGGAUUCGGAUUUGCAUUUCUAGUGAGUUGCUGGUGCAGUUGGUCCUGGGGACCACACUUUGGGGCUUUGUUAAAUGUGAUAUAAAGAACUAUAAAGAGAGGAAUCUUAGGUGCCUUCAAACAAUGUAACUUGAGAAAAGGGGCUCUUGAGGCUCACUACCCGCUCGACCCUGAGCGACGGUUACUGUGCGUCGUUGGACUCAGUGUUUGUCUUCUUGUGGCUUUUUUCACUUAGCAUAAUGUCCUCAAGAUUCACCCAUGCUGCAGCAUGUCUCAGGAUUUCUUUCCUUUUCAAGGCUGAAUAAUAUUCCACAUGCCACAUUUUGUUUAUCUGUGCAUCCGUCAAUGGACACGUGGGUUGCUUCUACCUCUUGGCUGUUGUGGAUAGUGUUGCUAUGAACAUGGGUGUGCACACAGAGAGAGCUCUUUCUAAGGGUCUACAAGGAGAGCCUGCAGCACCUGCCUGGCCAUUGUGCACACCCGUGCCUGCAGCCAGGUGGCAGAUACCUCUGACAUCUGCUUUGCGCUCCAUGGGUCCCCUUCUGCCUUCCUGUGGCUCUGCUGGACAGUCCCAAGGGAGCUCAGCCUCACCAACAUCACCACCCAGUCACCCACCUUCUGCCCCAGGCCCUUCUCAUAGGCCACAGGGGCUGGCUUGGCUUGGAAGUGCAGGACAGUUAACACCCAAAACAACUCUCAGCCAAUGGGCUCUAGUUGGUGGACAAUGCCAGGUCUUGCAUCCUUCCAGUGGGCAAAUCUGGAAGGCAUUCAGCUUCCCAGAGAUACCAGGAGAGCUGAGGGAUCUGGAUAACGCGCCCUUAGAUUUGUGGGUCGUCCUACCCUGUCUCACUCUCCCUGCCCCUUCUCACCUGCUUCCUGGGAUGGCCUCCAGGUAAACACCUGCUCCCAAGUCCUUGCCUCUGGGUGAUCCUGAUACCUCUGAAGUCUCAGAAUGUCUGCUUUAUACUGAUGACUGGUUUGAAUAAAAAUGGCUUUCCCUUACCUUGACCUCAGCUUCUGCAUGGGGGGAGGCGGAGGUCCCCCGCCCUCUGUCCCUGAUGCUUGCUCUCUACCCCUCCUCACUGGUCGCCCCUGGGAAAGAAAAGACCAUAAGCCCCUAUUUCAUAUGGACGAUCCCCACAAAUGUGAGCUUCUUCUUCAAGAAUGGGAGACAGCCUCUAAACAGUACAGCACUUGCUACCUAGACAUAAGACUGACAACAAAGCCUCAAUGAACUUAUGUUUUUCCUUCCAGUCAUUAUUCAGUAAGGAUUUGCCUGCCGCUGGUGAGCUUGUAAGCCAGGCCUGGCGGUCUAGCGGUCAAGAUUCAGCUCUCUCACCGCCGCGGACCGGUUCAUUUCUCUGUCAAGGAACCACACCAGUCGUCUGUCGGUUGUCAUCCUGUGGCAGCUGCCUGUUGCUGUGAUGCUGAAAGCUCUCCCACAGCCGUGAUGUCACGUCUCUGUUCGGUUUUGCUGGUGCGUGCCUGCAGGACCUUGGCAAGAGCUGCUCCUGCUGGGUGGGAUGCUGUGCCCAUCUUCCUCCGCCUGGGAAACUGCUACUUAUCCUUCAUCUCUCGGCUUAAACAUGGCUUGCUCAGGGCAGAGCCACCCCAUCUUCCUGGCUGGCUCUCAUAGUGCUGUAUCGCUCUCCUUUUUGACAUUUUCCACAGUUGUAUAUUGCCUUUCACAGGCUCUCUCUCCUUUUUCACAUCUCCUCCUCUGCCCCAAAUAAUCAGCCUUCAGAAGCAGCAGCAGCCCCAGGGUUGGCCUUUCCUGGAGUCACCAGGAAGCCUGGGGUCCACUGGCAGAGGCCACUGCAGGAGGUGUGGGUGGGGCGAGAGACGAGAAAGGGCAGUGAUCCUAAGGGAAAGGAUGCAGGUUGAGGGCAUGGGAACUGAGGCCAGAAAAGGACUUGAUUUUCUGCUUCUAGGAGAAGGGAAGGGAGAAAGACGGAGGUGAUGGGGUCCAGAAUAUGCCACUCUGGCAUAGGGAUUACUUUGUCCUGAAAGCCAUGGAGAAAAAGCAUACACAAGAAAACCUCUGCUCUCCCCUCUCUACCAGGAAGGGCAGGAUGAUUCUUAAUAAUCAGCAGAGAUAACUCUAGACACUUAUCAGCUCAGAGACAGCACCAAAAGAACCCACAUAAUAAACCUUACUGACUAGCCCUUAUCUCCCACAAUUUUCCUCACACAUUUGCCUUCCCAUGGUUUGCCGCCCCUACAAGCUCAAAGUCCCUUCCCUGGGUCUUGUUACUUCUCUACAAAUUUAUCGUUCUUUUGUUAAGAUGCGGUAUGCUACCCCAAGUUCUAACCAGCCCUUUGAGCUACUCAUCACUGAGCUCCCACGUAUAUGUGUGCCAUAUGUGUUAAUAAACUUCUGUUUGGUUUUCUCUUGUUUAUCUUUUGUCAGUCUAAUUUACAGGGCCCCAGCCAACGAACCUAAGAAGGGUAGAGGAAAAAGAUUUGUUCCCUCCUCUAGAGGAUAGAAGAGAAGAGAAUGAGAAUGUCUUAGGUCUGGGAUGUUGGAAGGAUCGUAAUUUGGAAAAGGAGAAAGGAUUAAUGGUACUGAGCCGGAUAUUUAGAAUUGAAAAGCCUGGUAAAGAACAGAUUGUAUUUGACAAAGGGCAAGCCAUGUUCUCAACAAACGCACAAUAUAGGCAGUCCAAAUCCAGCUUUCUUGUAUGAAAAAUAGUUCCACGAUGUGUGGGUUGUGAAGAAAGUGGAAUUAUGGAGUAAAUUGAAAUAUUCUGAUAUUUAAUGCUAAUUAGGAAUGAUGCCAGUUCAAGCUCGAUUGGGAUGUGCUCCUAAUAAAGGCCAAAACACCUAGAAAUGAAAGGCGGGCCCCUUUGCAGUAAGACAGCCAACUCAUAAAGGGCUGGUAUAUUUAUUAGGAAUCAGAAACAUAUGACAUGGAACAAACGAAUGAUGCAAUGUGAUGCAAAAUUCAAGGAGGUUUUUUGGAUUCAUUUUAGUUUAAUAAAAUUUUAUUAAGAAGCAUUGUGCUCCCGCUGAGAAUUGAAGUGCUUGGUUGGUAGAGCAAACGAAUUUGCAUACAACUGCCACACACAGUGGAUAAGUGUGUGCACUCGUACAUGUGUGGGAGGUCAGAAAGUGGUUCAGAAGAGGGAGUAAUCAUGCGUGUGGCCAGGUGUGAGGGCUAGAAGAGUUCAAAGAAGCAAUAAUGUUGCAUAACAAACCAUCCCAAACUUGGUGGCUUGCACUAACAAAUAUUUGUUUUUUCCACUCAGGGUGUGCAAGUCGGCAGGAGGGAGGGGUUCAGGUCUGCCCCAUGGGUUUCUCAUCCACGUUGGAUCAGUGGCUACCCCAGGACAUGUUCUCAUGGCAGAUGGCGAAGUCCAAGAGGACAAGUGGAAGCGUGCAAUGCCUCUAGGGCCUUGGCUUGGCACUGUCACUGUACCACCUCUGCCGACACAUCAUUGGCCAGAACAAGUCAACACGGCCAAGCCCCACAUCCCUGGAGUGGAGAAGUGUCCUCUGCCCAGUGUAGUGGGAGGUAGUGCAAAGUAACGCGGCAAAGGGGGUGGGUGCAUAGCUUUAGCCUGGGGAGGGAUGGAGAAUGGGAGCGAUAACACACACCUUCUAAGGAGGUGAUGCCUGAGCCGGGUUUGGAAGGACAAAUGCGAGUUAGCUGUGCAGUGAGAUAGGAAAACUCCAUUUUAUAAUAGGCCUGGCUCAGGCUGGAGCCAGUUACUGAAUUUCUGGGAGCCAGGUGUGACCAGGACCCCCUGCUCCUCUAGUUGAGACCUUAUUUCUUAAUCCUCCUCCACACAGUCCUCAAGGGGGUUGCUUGUAUGGCUUUUUGUUCCACCUGAACUUUGCAAAAGUGAACGGAGGAGAAAGGCCCUGUGAACCGUGACCCUUGGGGGGAGGUGAUUUGUGCUGUUGUGAAGCAUCUGCGUAUUCACAGGGCAGCUUGGGGGCCUUCCCGGUGAGUUAGACGUAAAGGGCCCUAUUUGCUAGAAUCUCUGGCCCUGCUGAAGAAUCUCAGUGUCUGCAGACGCUUCUUUCUUUUUUCCAGUUUUAUUGAGAGAUAAUUGACAUGUAACACUGUAUAAGUUUAAGGUGUACAACAUAAUGAUUUGAUAUAUAGAUGCUGCGAAAUGAUCCCCACAAUAAGUUUAGUUAACAUCCAUCACCUCACAGAAUUUUUUUUCUCGUGAUAAGGACUUUUAAGGUACAUUCAAAUAUACAUUUCAGUAUUGUUAACUAUCAUCACCAUGCUGUACGUGACAUCCCCAGGACUUAGUUACUUUAUAACUGGAAGUGUGUACCUUUCAAACACCUUCACCCAUUUCACUCACCCCCACCCCCGCCUCUGGCAACCUCCAACCAGUUCUCUGCCUUGUCGACCUUAACAAUAAAACAGCCAGUUAUUUUACCAGCAAAACGAGUUUAUUCAAGAAUAGCUGAAGAAUUGCAGUUUGGGAUGUGCGUGCUAUGGCGGACUGUAGGCAAAUCCAAGAAAUAAGGCAGAGGAAUGUUAUUUUAUAGAGAAAAAGGAGGAAAUUCGGAGGGGUUGUUUUGAAUGAAAGUCCAUUGGAGAAAAGCAAGAGUUUAUGGUGGUGCUGGAUUCUCAUAGACUGAGUUCCGAGGUAGUGAUUUCUGUUUGGGAUGCAAUGUGUAUUCUUUCUGCAAUUGACGAUUCUUUCCUGUUGAGACUUCUGUUUGGUCUGUAAUUGACUAUCUUUCCUGUAAUUGGCCUGAGUGGCACUACCCAGGACCUCUUCCUUCUGGCCUCCUGACUCCAUUUUUAAAUGAGGUUUCCCUUAUUAAUUUUCACAGUAUCUAUGAGCUUCAUUUUUGGUUUGUUUGUUUUAGAGUCCACAUGUAAGUAAGAUCAUCCUGUGUCUGUCUGUCUGACUUACUUCACUUAGCCUGGCUCUCUCUCUUUGCGGCCACGCUUCCCCUUAGCAACCGCACGCGUCUCCUGGUCCUCAGCAUGCCGAUCUGGUGCCUACCCUGUAGUUUUUGCACCAACUGUUCCCUCUGCCUGGAGUGUUCUCCCUUGUGUUGGCAGAACUGGAUUCUUCCUGUUAUUCAGAGCUCACUUUAAAUGUUUCUUCCUAGAAUGAUUUUCCUGAUCACCCAAGCAGAAGCAGUGCCCAGUUCCCAUCUCCCCUGGCUGUUUCUUUCUUUACCCAGCACUCUCACCAUCUCGUCUCUUUGCGUACAUGUGUGCUGCAUGGUUAUACGUUUGUUGCUGUGUCCACACACUGGAAUGCAGACACAUCAUCCGUAUCCCAGCAUGUGGUACGGUGCCCAUCACAUAAGGGCCGCUCAGUAGACAUCUUUCUAAUAACCAAAUAAUCUAAUGGGCUCCCAAUUCAAUAGCACUAUAUUUCUUUUUCGGCUUCUGGUACAAAAUCAUUACUCACAUAGAAUCACUUGUGCCAGGCUGUGGAGAAUCAUAUUCCAUAUUUUCAUUGUUCUUUCUUUACAUAUAACCUAUACAUUUAUUGCAAUUCUGAGCAAAAUUCCAAUAGAACUUGUCAGAGAGUUUCAAAAGCUGAUUCAAAAGUUCAUAUGGAGGACGUAGGAAUAGAAGAAUGCUGUAGAACGAGCUAAAAUAAUUUUGAGUAAGAAGAAUAGUAAUCUAAGAUAUGUGUACAAGAAUGUGUACCUAUAGCAUUGGAAACAUCUUAAGUGGGAUUGGGACUGAUUAAAUAAAUCAUGAAACAUCAGCACAAUGAAAUACUGUGCAAUCGUUAAGGAAAAAGAAAUCGCUCUCUAUUUGCUGAUGUGGAAAGGUCUCUAGAUGCUAAAUGAAUGAUAUGUGAAGUAUUAAUUUGUGGCAGACUAAGCAUUUGAGUCAUUGAAUGACCUGUGAGGUCCUCAUGCUGCUGAGAACAAAGACAGAGUUCUAAAAGGCUUGAGCCAGGUCUCUGCUCCCACUGAAGGUGCUAUGAGACAGACCACGUCUUUAUACCAAGAACAGCUGGAAGGCACUGAGUGAUGUGAGCGUGUGUGAGAACUGAACAUGAUUAGGCUUGUGUUUUGCAAAGAUCACUCUGGCUGACCUGUGGAUAAUAGAUUAGAGAGGAUUGUAGAAGGAUUAGAAACGGUGCAAAGAGACCAACUGCAGCAAUCCAGAAGAGAGAGGAUGGCGGCUUGCAACAUGGAGGUGGUGAUAAAGAUGGAGAGAAAUGAACGGAUUUGCCAAAUACUUAUGGGGUAAAAUGGACAGGACUGGUGAUGAGUCUGGGAGGUGCAUGAGAAGAAGAGUCAAGAAUGACUUCCAGGCACUGUCAGACGUGGUUCCUGCCUUCCGGGAAUCUACAGUGAUUAAACCAACACAAUAACAGCUGCACUUAGUCUUCUUAGGGCGUUUUUAGUAAGUGAGUGAUGACAUCUCCUGUCUUCACCAGGCCAGCCCCCUUGCAUCGUCUGUGCUCUCAUCUUCAUCUUGGAUUCUGCAUUAGCACCUAGCCAGCGCCUGGACGUGGUAAUCAAUGCAGGUUGUGGAAUGUGGCGGAGUGCCGGUCACCACGGCAUGCACUGAGUACUUAAAACCUUAUAGCCCGUUUGUAAAGUGGAGUGGAUUCAAUGCUGGAGGAGCCAAAUCACUCUUUUUUGGAACGGGAUCAGUAAAAGCAUAAGCAGUUAGCCGAAUGUGAGAUGUGGUGUAAUAACUGAUGAACUAAGUUAGAAAAAUUACAUAUUUUUUAAAGUCUAAAGAGCUUAGCAAACAUCAAUGUAAGGACUAAAGUUUACUGCUUCUGUUCCCUUGUACCUGUGGAGCCUCUGCUAGGAACACCCUCCUUCCUGGGGCCACAAAUACACGGAAAACUCCCGCUUACUUUUGUGAGACGAGGCUUAAACACCUCCACCUCUGAGAAGCUUCUCAUGAUCCAUCCAAACCAAGGGGACAUCAGCGAUGGCAUUUAUACAGACCCCUGCUUCCGCUGCUGCAUUCAAACUGGCUGGAACCUGCUUGUGUCUCCUGUCCCCACUGAGGGCAGGGCACCUGCUUCAUUCCUGUUGCAUCCCUCAUGACCAGAGGAGCAGACCGGCACCGAAGAGAGAAGGCCUCCCUGUGGGUACGUCCAGGGACACAUGGAGCCCAUGCCUCGCUGGGCCUUCACACCCCUCUCUCCUAUUGGCUUCCCCCAGCCCUUAUGUCUUGCACAGGUAGUGUUCAUGAAAGAGUUGUUGGUGAGUAAAUGAAAAAGUGAGUUGUCGUGAUGGAGGUACGGCCAGGGUAUUCUGGACGAGGGAGGAGGGGUCCCUGACGGCCUGGGCCCAGGGACUAAGGUAGGGGAGAGAUGAGAAAGCCCUUCUGGACGGGAUCUAAUAUGUAGGAUCAGGCAGGGGGUGAACAACGAAGCUCCCAGGCAGAGGAGACGGUGGAGAGACAGCUGGUGGAGGCCGCCAGCGGCCAGGGUCGCUGGGUGUGAUGUGUGAGGCAGGACACAACGGCAAGUGGGAAGCAAGAGAGGUCUUGAGUUCCACUCAGGAACCAGGACUUUCUCCUGCAGGCGAAGGUCUGAACAGUGAGCCAGAGAGUUGGGUUUACCUUGCAGAUGGCCCACCUCCUACUUUGUGGAGUGUGGAUGUGAAGUGGACAAGGCUGGAGGCAGGAAGAUCGUCCCCAGGAGGCUGUCCCAGGGAAGACGUAAGAGUUACAGGGGGCAGGCAACCUAGGGCAGAGGUAUUAGUAAUGGAGAGGUGACAGACAAGAGAAGCGUGCAGGAGGCAAACCGACUGCAUUUUGUAGACGUGGAGGGUGAGGGAGGGUGGCGGUCUCGGGUCCCCACCUGGAGCGUGACUUGGAUGACAGCUUGGGACCAUUAACUGAGAUGCGGAACAGAGCAAGAGCAGCAGGUGGCGAGGAGAAGAAGAACGCAUCCUGCAGUGCCUCUGGCAGACGUUCAGCAGGCGCUCCAGAAGGCGUGGCCGCAGACAGCGAUUCAAGAGUCCUCAGAGAAUCCCUGGCGUGUGGAAGCCUGAGGAGAUGUGAUCACCUGUGAGAGUGGACGGCAAGAAGGGCGGGUCCCUUCCCAAGCCUUCCCCACUCAAGACACCAGCGGUCUCGGUGCCCACGGAGCAGUCAGACGGAGCAGCUUUCAGCAGGAGCUGAGGUCUGGGGCCUGCGAGUGAAGGCUGCCCUUUGGAGAGCUCUGGAUAAGACAAAUUUGAAAAAGACUGGAUGAUAGACAGGGGAGGACAUGGGUUCUAGGAUGGGGGGUGGAAUUUGAGUGUAUUUAGAGGCCACAGGGAAGGGGUUUGUUUCACAGGGUGUGACAAGUGGAUCUAGGUCUGAACAAGCGUGACUGAGGGAGUUGGGGGCGCAGUAGGCAGGGGGACCCGGAGAGAGAGAGCCAGGGCGGGGACCGAACCUGCAGGUCCAAGGGCUGUAACACUGAAACAAACCCAAACCAUGAACAAAAAUGCCUGUGGUGUUCUUCAGACAACUGGGUGUUCUCCAAACAGCUCUGGGGACAUUUUUCAGGUAGAUUGAUCAUAUAGUUUAUUAGCAAACUGGGUCACUUGGGAGAAGCACGGGGCACUAUUAAUAAUUGUCAAGACAAUAGGCAUAAACAGGGAUUGUCCCUGGCCAACUAGGAUGGGUGGUCAUUUUAUUUUUAGAUCUCUAUUACCGUUUUUGUAAAGUAAUCAGGGGCAGGUUUCUAUUGCUUUGGUUAUAUAAAUGUCUUGAAAAACUUAAUUCCUAGACAAGUAUAGCUGCCAUCUGUAUCUGUGCAUUCUGCAUCCACGGAUUCAAGCAACCAUGGACCAAAGGCCUAAGAUGGUUGUGUCUGUACUGAACAUGUAUGGACUUUUUUCCUUGUCAUUAUUUCCUAAACAAUACAGUAUAACAACUACUUACAUAGCAUUUACGUUGUACCAGGUGUUAUAAUAAUCUAGAGAUGAUUUAACGUAUAUGGGAGGGCGUGCGUAGGUUAUAAGCAAAUACUGCACCAUUUUAUAUAAGAGACUUGAGCGUCCACAGAUUUUAGUACCCGUGGUGGUCCUGGAACCAAUCCCCCGAAGACACUGAGGAAGGACUGUGUUCCAGACUAUUUCACUGACUCCCUGCAGACCCUGGCCCCAACGUCACCCAACUCAACAGUCUUAAACACAAGCCUUUCUUUUCCAAGACUACUUCAUAUUUGAUGAUUCCCUGAGUGGUCAUCCCAGCCAAGCGUGUCCUUUCUUCUAUAACGAAAUUAGGAAUAUUGCCUUGAAAACAUUCUAAAUAGAAACAUAGACCUGCAAAGAGUUGGCCUUGUCUUCAAAGUCUCUCUGUGUGAAUAUGUGCAUUAUUUAUUAGAUUUUUGGUGACAUCUUCUUCACAGGGUACAAAAAUGUCCCGGGUAACAAGAGAAAAGGAUAGGAGAGAGGGGCCUGGGCAUAGAGGAGGACAGCAGAUCGGAGCGGGUGGAGCAGCACGGAAGGUCACGGGAUGGAGCGCUGUGGAAUCCAGAGUCCUUAGCAGGCCUCAGGUGUACCCCCUCCAGCCGGCGUCAGGGGCCUUCACCCACGGGAGCUGUGCAUUAGUAAAUGUGCCUCUUUCACCCUCCUGCCUUGUUCCUGUGGGCUCCCCGAAUUUGACUCUAUGGAGAGGUCCAUCCACGACAUCUACCUUGGCUUAUGAGGCAUUUUGUCCCCAUUAUGGGGCUGCUGAAGACUUCCUGGGCGUCUCUCAAUAGCAAAUGCCCCCAAAGUGCCUGAGGAGUCUUACAGGAACUCCGGCCGGCUAGGGUGCAGUGGUGAUAAUCAAUUGAGCUGUUGCUCGCAGUGCUGUCAUCAAUUUCUGUGUCUUCACUCUUUUGUUUGUUUCUAUCUUGCGUCGAGGGUUCCAUUGCAUUAACACGUGCACACGUAUUAGGGGGACAUGGUCUUUAGUGCGUAGCAUGUAACAGCCGGGAAAGAGCUUCGAAGGCCGGUAGGCAGCCUCGUUACAGAUGAAAGGGCAACCGUCCAGUUAUGUUGUAUGAUAACUGACGUGAACUAUUGACGUGUUAUCCAUUUUGGUGGCAGUUGGUGUCUUUCUUUUUUUAAGCAUGGAUGGG
rnacentral:lncRNA from 1 species